UCUGUCUCCUCUCUCGCCUUUCUCACUCUUCCCUCCCCCUCUCUCUCUCUCCGACGAACAGGACGCGACCUCCGAGUCUCUCUGUGCCACCUCUCUCCGCCUCCGCCUCCACCUCCGGACCUCCGCCUCCGCCUCGGUUCCUUUCCUUCUCCGCGCAUCCCACCUCUCUCCGCCUCCGGACCUCCGCCUCCGCCUGGGUCGCUGGUCAUCUGCCUCUGGCAUCUCGG
rnacentral:lncRNA from 1 species